AACCUUCAGCCUGGAGAAGGUCAGCAGCCCCAUUGUUUUAAAAAGGGAGCUGGUGGUGAAUCCAGUGCACACAGCCACCGAACAUACAGGACUCGCUGCUCCCUGGUGAGCAUCGUCAGCCAUUUGGGCUCUACGGCUCACAGCGGACAUUACAUCUGUGACGGUGCUCACAGAACCCAGGAACCCGGUGACACAGCAGACUGUGGGCUCACCUACAACGACGAGCAGGUCACUGAGACAACAUGCAUUUAAUUAAGUGGUUUUGAGUGCAGGAGUGCUGGUUGAUUGCAGCAGUCAUGUUGUUAAUCCUACUGUUAGCUGCCAGAAAACAAACCAGCAGUUUGUUUCUUCUCUUUUAUUUCCUCAGAGGUGUUGAUAAUUUUGUGUCGUUGUUGUGUUGUAGUUGUAGGACUCUGAGGAAAAUGGAAAACGAUCCAGAUGUUGCAUCAACAGUAAACCACUUGGAAAUGUUGAAGGGUGCUGUCCGUUGCAGUGUUGGAAUGAUUUAACAACACUAUUUAUGUUCUUUUCAGCACCGAAGGAGUCCAACAGCUGAGGACAGACCUGGAGGAAGCUGCAGCAUCACCUGCUUGUUCUUAUUUAAUAAAUG